rnacentral:lncRNA from 1 species
UUUGGGUUCGGUCGAACAUAACAUUGUGCAUUAGAAAACCGGUUACCUAGAGGUGUUUGACUUAAAUGAUUUUGCUUUUGAUUCCGUGGGGGAUGUCGAGUCGUAGAUUGUGCCGAUUGAGCUUUAGAAGUUGCCGAAUGAUUCUUCUUUAUUUUUACUGGGCAACUCUUUUUGAUGUGUCCUUUGUUUCCACAUUGAUGACAUACUUUUUCCUUUAAAGUUGUUGAGACUUUAGAUGUCGCCGUUUGAUCCUUCUCAACAUAUGUCCUUUUAUAUCCAAGACCAAGCUUGUUCGUUUAACCCAAUCCAUAUUGUCACGCCCCGAGCCCGCCUCUUUGGUCGGAUUCGGGCACGCCAACAGACCGCCAAACGGACAGGGUUUUCUCUGCACACGGACAGAGUCUCCCCUGUACGUUCAAGGCGUCGCAAUCAAUACAAGUACGAGAGGUUCCAAACAGGAAUAAUUUUUCAACAACGAUUGCAUAAGAAAGGUAUCAAACAACAUAACACAUCCUAUGUUAUUACAAUCAUUCAUCUCAUCAUUUUACAUCGCAUUUUUCAUUACAUUGAUCCUCAACUUCCAAAUAUACAAUCGAUUUCUAAACAUAAUAUUACAACAUCGAUUCUUUUCUUUUCUUUUCUUAUACCCCUAAAAAGCCGACUCAGGGUGCUGCUAUCUGGUCUUUGUGGUAGGGCGCUAACUACAGAGCUACGCCCUUUCCUCGCGCCGCCGCGCCGUUCGCGUGUGAACCUGUACCCCCAAAAACAACAACACGGGGGUGAGACUAUUGUCCAUAGUCGUCAGUGGGUACAGCCACCCAAGGAAAGAGCUCAACCCACCAGGUCCAAAGGAGGCACUGCAAUAUGUUAGUCCAACAGAUAUAUACAUAUAACAUCAUGCAAUACAUGUUCAUGCCCUACAAAUAUGCAAAUUAUGCAACUCUUAGUCAUUCUUUACAAUUAGCCUUCCUUUAGAAUAUGCAAUUCUUUAUCAUUAGCCAUUCUUUAUUCUUUAUUCUUUAUUCUUUAUUCUUUAUUCUUUAUUCUUUGCUAAGGGCACUCGCACCUUAGGCGCAUUAUACACAUUUGCCAUUCUUUAUAACAUUAACAAACGUUUCUCAAUUGUCAUUCUUUCUCAACUGUUAUUCUUUCACAGGGUUACCUUUACCCUAGCCAACUAUGCCACUCGACUCGGUCUUGAGUCAAUUUAUAAUGAAUACAAGAUCCACUUUCCAAUUCAUGAUUCCUUUUUGUUCUUUGUUCUUUAAUCUCACGGCUAACCCGGGGGUUUCGCCACAUUAACUUGCUUCACAUUAAGUCCAUCAUCGCAGGAACUCACCAGCUAGGACCGUCCUUCGGGUUUACUCCAACCCGUGAUGCAUAACUCCGGAGCGCAUCGCCCGAGGGGGAGCGACCGCCCUCGAGCACGAAACUCAUAGCAAGUAUGAUCAUAUCCUUAACUCAAAGGAUUUGUAGUUGAAUCAUGGCUUUACAUUAACUUUAGUGUUCUUUACAUCACAUUAGUUGCUAACUCUAGCAAUCAUUGUUCUUUACACCCCACUUGUCAAUUACUCUAGUAAUUGUCAUUCUUGAUACCACACUUGUUCUUUUGUUGCCACACACUAACUCUAGUGUGCUUCAUGUCACAUUGGUUGCUAACUCUAGCAAUUAUCAUUGUUCUUUACACUUUGCUUGUUCUUUAUGCCACAUUACUUUACAUCGCUUCUAGCCAUUAUCAUUAUUCUUUACAUCACAUUGCUUUGCCUUGUCUCAAGCCAUUAUCAUUAGGUUCUCACAUUACAUCUCAUGCAUACACAUAGAUUAUUUAGAUUCUUAAUCAUUCUAAUAAGCACGUGUACUCACAUCAUGCAACAUUACAUUAUUAUCAUCAUAUUGUUUUACAUUAUCUUUAGCCAUUAUCAUUAUUCUUUACAUCACAUUGCUUUGCCUUGUCUCACACUAACUCUAGUGUCCACUUUACCAUUUCGAAUGCCGCUCGAUCUAUAUUCAACAUGCAUAUAUUUUGUCAUCCAUUGGUAGUCAUUACUUAGCAUUUUAUGCAUUCGUUGACAUUUACUACAUGCAUUCUCGGUUAGUACAAAUCUCAUACUUUCAUUUGACAUCUAUUUAGCAUUUCUAUAAUAUGUACAUGUAAAUUAACAUCAACUCAUGCAUUCAUUUGGCAUCUAUCUUUAUCAUGCAUUCUCAAAUAGCAUACUUUAUCAUGCAUCAAUAGUAAACAUACUACACUUUGGCAUGGAAAGCGACCUAAUCGCUUCGGUGAGCACAACCCACCUCAACACGCUUUUCGAUUGCUUGUCGACACUUGCAAUCGGCCGCCCGCGGCACCCGUGACCCGGUUUGGCCCGAACUCUUGCGCGACCACCCGAACGGCCACCAAUUCGCGAUCCGUCUGUUCGGGAGUUUAUUCCCCGACACCACGAUGCUCCUGAUCCAUUUUCAUGAUUUUUGGAGGCUUAUCCCGCGUGCUGCGGCUAUCUAUACCAAAAUAGAUUGUUUCGUCAAUAACUUUGCGUACACUCGUCGGAUUGUCGAACCGAGCGCACCAACGCGUUCGUUAUACCCCCAAUUAGGUUUAUAUAGGGUUAAUUGAGAUCAAACUCAACUAUUUACAAAAAACCCCUUUUUGGAGCCCUAGAUGCUACUAUAGCAAAAUCCUCCAUUUCGUCUCAUGAAUUAAGCAUGGUUCAUCUAUUUAGCAUGCUAGGAUUCCAUCAAAAUCAUCUUUAGAGUAUAAGAACUUAACCCUAAAGAUCUACCAUUAAAGCUUCAAGAAGCUUACCUCUCUAGGUUUGCUCCAAGGUGAAGAAGAAGAUGAUGGAGGGAAGCUCUCCACUUGCUUCACCUUCUUUACCCCUUUCUUCUUCUUCUUUCUCUUCUUCUUCUUCUCUUCUCCUUUCCUUUCUAGAGAGAGAGAGAGGAGGCUUGGUGUGAUACGGUGAGGGAGAGGGAGAGGGAGAGAGAGAGGUUCUAAUCCUCUCUUUACUCAUAACCCAUUCACAAAAUGCCAAUAAGUCCCUCAACAAUGCUUCUCUCGCAACAGCCCGAUUCGGGGUUCGGGGACCGGUCCUUGCGAUGAGAGACCGGUCCCUGAGAGACCGGUCCUUGACUGAGAGACCGGUCCCCGAAGGUCCAGAAAUCAGCCUUCAAGGACUUAGCCAAAUUUUCAGCUUUUUCACCGUUUUCGCUCCGUUUUCACUCGUUUUCGCUCGUUUGACAUCCGAUUCAUUUCAAAUCGAACCGAGACUCUCCAAACAUGUUUUCAAGCAUGUUUUCAUCAUCUUUUCAUCCACGCUAAUGCCGGAUUUAACUCACGGUCCAACAUAGCCUUUUGGCUCCGUUUUCGCGCCCUAUGCACACUGAAGCACCCGAAUGCUCCCGAACAUCGCCGGGACGAUUCCAAUGGCUUUCUAAGCUAACUUACAUCGUAACUUCGUGAAUUUAGAAGUUCGGUAUAUUACACAUAUGAUCUAGUUUCUUUGAUCCAGGAGAAACUUUUUGAAGAUCGGAUUUGAGUUGACAAACUUGACUGGUUAAGACUUGAUUGGAUGCAUGAAUUUCCUGAAAUUGAUGCUCCAAAAAUCCAAUCUUGUCUUUAGAUGAUUUGACCGUUAAUUCCUCUUCCUCUAGCUUCUUUUGGAGGAUCGAAUUGUUUUUCAAUAUUGCUUCCCUUUCCUCCUCAAGAGCUUUAUUCGUGGUCUUCAAAUUUUUGUUCUCCUCUUCAAUGUCCAAUAACCGACGCCUCAACUUCUUAUUGAGCUUGGUCAUCUUUUUCGAAUCAAUAAGAAGUUGGUUGUAUUCUUCCGCUAUAUCCUCGUCG